UAUUGGAUUUGCUGGUCUACCCGAGGUCAUGUUUUAGAGACUACUUGAUAUGUGCUCGAGAAUAUUUUAAGCAAAUCGAUCACCAAAACUCCAUAUGAGAUGUGGACUUGGAUAAUUCGAUACUCUCUUACCUUAGGAUUUGGGGUGUCGAAUUUGUGUGAAAUAUUUAUAAAUCGAUUAGCUUGGAUCUUGGUCUAAUAAACAUUAUCUAAGGAUAUUUAUUCUAUCUUUUUGAUGGACA
rnacentral:lncRNA from 1 species